rnacentral:lncRNA from 1 species
CACCCCCUACCUCCAGCCGGCCGGCCGGCCAAGCCGAGUCCGAGCCGCCGCCUAGCGCCGCCGAUUCCGCCCUUCUCGGUCGACCUCGAGUCCGAUUAGUUGAGGAGAAAUACUCUCCUCCUUAUCCUCUUCCUUUCCCCUAAAGUCUCAGAGACUAAUUUCUCCCGGAUAAACCAAAUCGAGUCCGUUUGAGUUUAUCUCUCCAAACUAACCUGAAGAUUUUCCGGCUUCGAUUCCUCUCGGUUGGAGCCCGAUCUCUUCAAUCCAACCUAUAUAUAGCAUCCCCUUGGCGUCCUCUUUCAUUUGCCUCAACUCCCGAGCCCUCUCGUCCCUUGUAGUGUCGCCGCCGCGCCGCCCUAGCCGCCGCCGUCGCCGGUCGCCGCUCAGCCGCGCCGGCCACCGUUCGUCGUCGUCCGUCGCGUUUUCUUGCACCGGUGAGUUCGCGUCGUCGUCCUCUACGUGUAGAUGGCCUGAGAUCGCUCGGCCGACCUCUCUAUCGCCGGCGAGGUUGUCGCUCGCGUCAUGCCGGUGAUGAUGACAUCAGCGUGACGUCAUAUUUCCUUUUUUCCAGAUUUUCUUUAUUAGAUGCAAAUCAGUUAAACUUCGGAAAAUCAUAACUAAAUCAUCGUAGCUCCGAUUCAAGUGGUUCAAGUUGCUAAAUUUUUCUAAACUUGAGAUCUACAUGUUAAAAAUAUCCACAUAUACUGUUUAUGCUUGUUUAUGUACUGUUUUGUUGAUUUAGUCUUUUUGCUCUAGUUUCCGACGUUCCGGAGGAGAGCAUUUCCGUCGAGGAAGGUUCAGAAGUGUUUGCGGAAGCUCAAGGCAAGUCACACAGAUCCCAAACAACCCUUUGAGCAUGUUGAACCCGUUUAAAACUAUUGUUUUAUUUCAACUUAUGCAUUAUUUUCGAAUGUCAUCGGGUGGUGAGCCUUUCCCAUUAAUUAAUGGCCGAAGAUGACUUUAUUUUCCUAUGGGUUAUAAUUUGGUUAGCUUGGACCUUAUAAAUUGGAUUGGUUCAGCUAAAUGCUAUAUGUAUAAUUGCUUAGAUAUGCUUAGAAACAUUAGCUUAUUAAUGGGAUAAAUCAUAUUACAUUAUUAAUUAUGGUUAUAUUUAAUGGUAGCUCAUGAUGGUUAAUCGUGUAAUGUUAAUUAAUUGAUAAUUAAAACCUGAUUAAAGGUGGGUUGUGAGCAUAUGGUUUUGAUGGUUGUGCUCAUGACAAUUAAGGACCGGUUCAUGAGCUACUGUUGUGAAACAUUUAUCGUGCCAACCACAAGCGAGCGUGGGCAACGACUUUAUCUUUUGUAUAGCAUGAUUCAUUAUGGUGUGCCAGACUGUGAAGUGGCGAGAAGUCCGUGGGGGUCGCUGGGGAGUCCAUUGCCUCUAGUUUUGAGGGGGAGAUUAUGAUCCAGGAACGGUGCACUGUGGUGAGUUGUGUUGUGCGAGGGGUAUUGUCAUAGUUCUUUUCCGAGGUACCGUGGUGGUAUUGAGGCGCAUGGUAACAUGUUGUGGAACUGUGUCUUGUGGGUACAGUGGUACACCUCUGGUCAAAGUAAAACUAUUCGAAUAGCCGUGCCCGCGGUUAUGGGUGAGUUAAACAAUGUUUUUCGUGAUUAGUCCCACACUAUUCAUUAAUGGUAAUUGUGAUAAUUAAUUUGACUCCUGGUUUGGAAUGGCAUAUUCCUGGUAUGGAGGUUUGAUUUGUACACCAGGGUUGGUUGUUCAGAUGAGGUUGGGCCCAUGCAACACGGGUGUGUUGUAUGGUGUUUAUUUAAUACUGCUUAAUUAUUCAACUAUUUUACUAUUCUCUUAAAUAUUUAGUAAAUGAUGUUUAUGCAAAUGAGCUUUAUUAUGCCGUCCUUUGUUAUCUUGUGCACUUGCAUAUUUGCUGUGUGGCUUGUUGAGUAUGUCAUAUGCUCAUUCUUGCAAUAUUCAUUCAUCAGAGGAGGAGUACUUCAGUGAAGGUGAUGAUCUGGAAGACUAGGCUUGGUCCGGGUUAAGUUGCCUGUAGAGUGGAGUUGCCAUAGCUGUUCCGUAGUUUGUUUUUAUUUUCCGUUGCAUAGAAUUUUAUUCUUUGAGAGGAACUAUCCACCUCUGUAAUAAUUUAUUUUGCGAAUGUUAAUUACCUGUUUGAUAGUACUCUAUUAUCAAUUUAUUAUCGUGUGCCUCGGCUGAUUCCUGG